rnacentral:misc_RNA from 1 species
UUUGACCAUGGCAAUGUAGCUAUUUCAUAUGUUUGUAUCUCAUUCAUCCUACUCAAAAUUAUAAAACUACGACAAGUCAAAUAGCUUAAUGGCUAAGUGCCCUUGAAAUGAGCUGUCCGAAACCUGACUUGUAGGAUUUGGAGUGAUUUUGCUCAGUUGAUUUGGGCUGUUACCCACUUUGGAAAAAAUAUUUUCAAUAAUGAUGGGCAUUGGAAGAUAAAUAUUUUGCCCAUAAAGAACACCUUUGUUUGCCUAUCAAAUGAAAUAUUUAGGCAUGCACAGUCAUUUAUUGAAGGGAUCUAACUUUGAUUUCUUGUUUCCUUUUUUCCUGUUUGCAGUGGGGCUGCAAUGCUACAUUGAUGUAUGAUCGGGUUUUAAGAUACCCUGAUCGUGUUAGAAACCUGUACUUCACUUACCUUUUUGUUCUCCGAGCUGUUAUGAAGGUGAGUGUUAAAAGAGUAUGAAGUUAGAUUUUCUCUACAUGAAGGUAUAUAGUAAGUGAUUUAGUGAUAGAAAUGCUGUUUCUUCUACAUUAUUUUAUAUUUUAUGUCUACAUGAAUGUUGAUAAUAGGCAAAUAAAU